ACGGAAGGCAGCAGUGGGGAAUAUUGGGCAAUGGGGGAAACCCUGACCCAGCAACGCCGCGUGAAGGAAGAAGGCCUUCGGGUUGUAAACUUCUUUUACCAGGGACGAUAAUGACGGUACCUGGAGAAAAAGCAACGGCUAACUACGUGCCAGCAGCCGCGGUAAUACGUAGGUUGCAAGCGUUGUCCGGAUUUACUGGGUGUAAAGGGCGUGUAGGCGGAGCUGCAAGUCAGAUGUGAAAUCCCGGGGCUCAACCCCGGAACUGCAUUUGAAACUGUAGCCCUUGAUUAUCGGAGAGGCAAGCGGAAUUCCUAGUGUAGCGGUGAAAUGCGUAGAUAUUAGGAGGAACACCAGUGGCGAAGGCGGCUUGCUGGACGACAACUGACGCUGAGGCGCGAAAGCGUGGGGAGCAAACAGGAUUAGAUACCCUGGUA
rnacentral:rRNA from 1 species